rnacentral:rRNA from 1 species
AGUACGCUAUGUGAAUCAUCGAAUCUUUGAACGCACUUUGCACCUUGUGACUUUUGUCACAAGGUAUACUUGUUUGAGUAUCCGAAACCAUUUCACUUCCCUUUCGGGGCGAAGUGGUCUUGAGAUUCGAUGGCCUCGGCACACCUUCGGGAGGGUUGAGCGAGUCGUCUCUUUAAAUGAGCUGGUCCGUUUGUGGGAGGUCUCCAUCUGGAGCCUGACAGACUAUUGGGAUAACAUCCUGACGAUCGUCUGUUGGUUCAAUUUUAGGUGUUGAUCGACCUUGGCCAACGUCGAGGAAGCUUGAUUUGGGGCUCUUCAUUUAUGAGGUUCGAGUCAAGUGACUUCAUAUGUAAGGGGGCAACCUUUAUCGUGAUAAGGAUCUCAAAUCAAGUAAGGAUACCCGCUGAACUUAAGCAUAUCAAUAAGCGGAGG